AUUGCAUGAUGAACAAUGUUAGGCAUAAAAUUUUAAUAGUGCCAGAUUUUAGUAAUAAAUCAAAACAAAGUUUACUUUAACCAAAAUAUAGUUGCAUUAGACAUUAGAAGAUAAGGAAUUUCAUUCAAAUCAAUCUAGUUCGUACUGGGAUACUCUAGUAUCGCUCCUGCAAAUUCAGGCACACAAGCUAGUCUAAGCAGCUGGCUGCCCCUUCUCUCUAAUGACCUAUCCAAAACGUGAAGAAGCUCAUAGUCUAUGGACCCCUUGUGUCUUAUUAUUUCCCGCAUGCAAGCCAGAAGCUUUCCUGUUGCCUUCCGAUUACCGAAAGUCCGAGGCCGUUCGUGUGUUUGCGAAAGUUGUGCUCCUUCAACAACUUGUGAACGGUGGUCUUCUUCAUAUUCAAUGCACUAGCGACAUCUCGGAUUGUUUUUCGAUCCUUCGGAGGGACAGCCAUUAGAGCAUCCAAGUCCAACGCAACAUGCUUUCUUCCAACUCUACCCGCCUUCUUGUUGAUGACCGCAUUCACACCGCCACCUCGCCUAGCAUUCUCCCAUAUCCGCCGGAGGACCCUAGCUGGCACGUCUGUUCGAUUUGAUAAUUCUUUACUCACCCCACGUCUUAGUGGACCACAACCAUUUCUCUCCAAAAUAAUCGCAUACAGCGCACGCUUAUCAUCAUCGUUGUAAAAUGUUCUUCUCUUUUUAUUGGCCAUCUCAACUAGGAAAAACAUACAAGGAUAGCAUUUUGUUAAGUUUGAAACUAGGACAACAAAAUCCUAUUAACUCUUAUUCUUCAUUUCAUAAUCCAGUUUUAGGAUAAACAAAACAUGCAGCUUGACGACAACAAAUACUCAUACUAGGAUUCAACAACUAAAUUAGCGAUACACGUGCAAUCUUCAUCUAUGAAUUCUAUAACUUCCUAAUCGUCAUUAUAUAUAAUAGCCAGAAUUACACAGGUGCAAUCUCUACAGUACUAUAACAGAAAAAAAAAAUGUACAGUGUUCAUUCUCUACAAUAUUUUGCAAUAAUCUCCAUUGAUGAAACAUAUUACUACUGUUCAUUAUUAGUAGAAAGAUAUUGACAUAUGCAAUCUCCAUCUAUGAAAUUGAAACCUAUAUAAUAUUUUAAAAAAUACACUGUUCAUAAUCUACUCAGAAUCAGAAAUAGAAAUAAAUAGGCCCAUAAAUGUAUUCUACAUAUAUACUAACAACAAUGUGCCACGUUCAUGAUCUAAAGUGCAUAUUUUUUAAAUCCACAACAACAAUAACUGAAAGCAUGAAUUUAAACUAAUCAAACAAAAAACGAGGCUACUUUUCUUUAAUCUCAUUAUUAAGUGUAAUCUUCCUCUAUCAAUCACUACAUAGCAAAAUUAUGCCCACUGUUCCAUUGCAUGAGCAUGAGUACCAAAUCACAAGCAAAGUAGGUAGGACGCAAACCUACUUAGUUCUGUGCCGGUGUCAUGGCCGUGGUCGUUCUUGUCCGUGCCUCCUGCGCCACACCCUUCAUCACCGCCAGCUGCAGCAUCAUCGUCAUGGCCGUCGCAGCCAGUCCAUCCGCGACACUCGGAUCUCGCCACGGAUGGCACGCGACCAGCGAGUCCAGCGCCUAGAGAACCGGCUGCGUCGCGCACGGCAGCGAGUGCACGAGCACGACCGAAGCAGCCGUGGUUGCCUCCUCCGCUCAAGAUCGACGGGAGCGAUCCGCGGCUCGGGUCGAAUGCUCCUCGCCCACCUAGCCGAGGCAGGCCCGCGACGGCUUCUCCACCGGCGCCAGCGGUGCAGCCGCGCCUUGCUCGACCUCUACGUGCCAGGCGCAGGCCGGCGGCGCCCCGUCCACAAGCGAGCCCUCCGCCACCGCCACCGCCGCCGGUAGACCCACCAUGCCCACGGUUCAGGUCGUCAGCUUGAUCUCGCGGUCGCCCAGCUUCCUCUCGACCGUCUACGUCUACAGGAUCCAGGUUUAGAUCAAAGAACGCCAUGGAGUUUCAGGACGAGGAAGAAGAGGAAUGGAGUACUAGUAAGUAUAAAGCAUCUGCCCUCCGUCCUCUUAUAAGGAGGAUUUGGAGUUCAAAUCUUCGUGCCAUUUUUCCUCCUAGGCAGCGCAGGGAUUGGAUCGACAUAUGGCGCCGAAAUUGGGAAUUGGGCAUUGCUGCACACGACGCGAGGAAGAGAGCGAGGUCGCCGGUUGGGUCACUAGUGAGGCGGAAGAGAAGACGAUGGGGUUGCCUGCAAUAACUGUGUUUUGUUGGCAGGAGCAUGGCCGAGGCCGAUCGAAGCCCGUCGGGCGGUUGCAUUGCAUAUCGCUCCAUAAUCCCGGUCAUCAGAGUUACAUCUUGUCUUCGCUCGCAAAAAAGAGUACAUGUUUCCGGUGGACGGUGGUGCAUGCUGAUGCUGCUGAUCGGUGGAGUACCAAAGCUUUUUCUUGUCCGGGAGUAGUAGGCAUCAAUUUUCUACCUCCCUUGCCCUUGAUCGACCAACCACACAGCUCAGCAUGUAAUUGCAAUUAAUGCGUUAAAUGAGGGACGUUAGGAUUGGCCAUGCAUGCGCCCAUCUUUCCACGGGAAAUCAGAGCGACGCAUCGGCGAAGACACUUCCUCGUUGGAGGCACUGCUGGAAUUUCAUCCUACCCGAGUGUUUGCCUCUUCACCGAGUGCUAAAUCACAGGGACUACUUGAGAAACAAAUAGUAUAAGCCGAGAGCAUCACACGGCAACGAGAAGAAGACACGGCGAAGAAGGCACACUCGGCAUUCCGCAAAGGCCAUAGACGCCGAGAGCACCACACAUCAAAGAGAUGCCACGUGGCAUGUCCGUUUGCAUCUAAUGGCUCCGUAACUUAUAGUUGUCUUUACCGAGAUCUAAACAAGGCCGCUUGGCACACGAGUGAAACAUUUUCACCUCAUAGGUGGACCCAUUAGAAUCACUUGUUACCGAAACAUUUCAAAUUUCUUUUGCAAGAACAUCUCAAACAUAUUGACACUACUGAAGUCAGGGGCGGAGCCAACGUAGAAGCAUUGGGUUCAAGUGAACCCAACGACUUUUGCCUCGUACAUGCAUGUAGGUACGUGGUUGCCUGACCUGAACCCAGUAAAAAAUCAUGCCUGACUCCCCAUCAAAUAGCGCGAGGGCCAUGUGAAUAGCUAACCAAAGGGCCAGCCCCCAAAAAAGCUAAGCAAAGGGCCAAAAGCCCACAAGGAGUCAAUGUGCCCAGGCAGCCAGGCCUAAACCGUGAUUAGCAGGCCCCUUGUGAUUACUCACGUAACGCAGCCACACGCAAGCCUCGUCGUCUGUUCGUUUUCCAAAUCGCAUCUCUUCUCUCGUCUGUUCGUGUUGUUCCGCGCCUCGCCGCCGCACGCCGGCGGCAAGCAGGCCACUAGCUGCAACACUUGUAGCCCAAAAUUUGAGGUAAUUAGAUUACAUUAUCACAUCCCCUCAUCUACUCUCUCUUAUAUAUGUCCUAUCUAGCUAAUAGCCUAUUAGUACGAAUGUACAAUAGUGAUUUUUUGCCCUAGUUUUUUUUCUGUGGACUUUGAUUUGAUCUAGGCUAUGGAGGGGUAUUAUUCAAAGAAAACUUGGUCACCAGAUCCGGUUAAUGAUACACACACAUCAAGGUCACCCAUUAGACGUAAGCAAGUGCAUCACAUGUUAGUGUAACCAGUCUCCCGAAACCUACUAUUCACACAUAAAUUAACUUAGAUGAGUUGCCUUCUGAU
rnacentral:lncRNA from 1 species